rnacentral:rRNA from 1 species
UACGUAGGGACCGAGCGUUGUCCGGAAUCAUUGGGCGUAAAGAGCGUGUAGGCGGCUAUUUAAGUCCUGCGUGAAAUCCUGCGGCUCAACCGCAGACGGUCGUGGGAAACUGGAUGGCUAGAGUGCGGGAGAGGAGAUCGGAAUUUACGGUGUAGCAGUGAAAUGCGUAGAUAUCGUAAGGAAGACCAGUGGCGAAGGCGGAUCUCUGGACAGUUACUGACACUGAGGCACGAAGGCCAGGGGAGCAAACGGG